AUUGAACGCUGGCGGCAGGCCUAACACAUGCAAGUCGAGCGAGCGGCGGACGGGUGAGUAAUGUAUGGGGACUGCCCGAUAGAGGGGGAUAACUACUGGAAACGGUAGCUAAUACCGCAUACUAUCGGAUAACCCAUAUGGGAUUAGCUAGUUGGUGAGGUAAUGUCUCACCAAGGCGACGAUCCCUAGCUGGUCUGAGAGGAUGAUGAUCCACACUGGAACGUGGAAAGGGCCCAGACUCCUCCGGAGGCACGAGUGGGGAAUAUUGCACAAGGGGCGCAAGCCUGAUGCAGCCAUGCCGCGUGGAUGAAGAAGUCCCUAGGGUGUUAAAGUACUUUCAGUCGGGAGGCGUUACCGACAGAAGAAGCACCGGCUAACUCCGUGCCAGCAGCCGCGGUAAUUC
rnacentral:rRNA from 1 species